GGCUUCGUUCUCACUCACGAUCACGAGCUUCAUCUCCUUCAUUUAAACAUUCAAAUCUCAAACCAAACCUACACCACCACCAAAUAUCACUCUUCCUUCUCCAACAAUCUCCCAAAGGCGAAGAAAUGAUCUCGCUAUCGAAUCAAUGGCGGUCGAAGAAUCUUCUUCAACCGCUUUUUCACUUUCCUCUGAGCUUGCUUCCGUGAUUUUCCCCUCGCUUGCUUACUCCAACACACUCUCUUCAGUUCUGGAUACAAUGUGCAAGUGUUUGUUGAAGAUAAUGAGUCAGAGGAGAGGCUUGUGAAUCGAUUUAGGAGAGAAGUGAUGAGAACUGGUGUUAUACAGGAAUGUAAGCGAAGGAGAUACUUUGAGAAUCAAAAAGAUGAGAAGAAACGUCGAGGACCAU